AUUGAACGCUGGCGGCAGGCCUAACACAUGCAAGUCGAACGAGUGGCGGAAGGGUGAGUAAGGACUGGGAAACUGCGCGAUGGAGGGGGAUAACUACUGGAAACGGAAGCUAAUACCGCAUACCAGCGGAUGUGCCCAGAUGGGAUUAGCGAGGAGGUGGGGUAACGGCUCACCUAGGCGACGAACCGUAGCUGGUCUGAGAGGAUGACCAGCCACACUGGAACUGAGACACGGUCCAGACUCCUACGGGAGGCAGCAGUGGGGAAUAUUGCACAAUGGGCGCAAGCCGGAUGCAGCCAUGCCGCGUGUAUGAAGAAGGCCUUCGGAUUGUAAAGUACUUUCAGUGAGGAGGCGUUACUCGCAGAAGAAGCACCGGCUAACUCCGUGCCAGCCGCCGCGGUAAUUC
rnacentral:rRNA from 1 species